rnacentral:sRNA from 1 species
GCUGGGCGCUGUGGCACACGCCUGUAAUCCCAACAGCUCGGGAGGCUGAGGCAGGAGGAUCAGGAGUUCAAAGCCAGCCUCAGCAAAGGUGAGGCCCUAAGCAACUCAGUGAGACCCUGUCUCUA